rnacentral:rRNA from 1 species
AUUGAACGCUGGCGGCAGGCCUAACACAUGCAAGUCGAGCGAGCGGCGGACGGGCGAGUAAUGUCUGGGAAACUGCCUGAUGGAGGGGGAUAACUACUGGAAACGGUAUCUAAUACCGCAUACCAUCAGAUGUGCCCAUAUGGGAGUAGCUAGUAGGUGGGGUAAUGGCUCACCUAGGCGACGAUCCCUAGCUGGUCUGAGAGGAUGACCAGCCACACUGGAACUGAGACACGGUCCAGACUCCUACGGGAGGCAGCAGUGGGGAAUAUUGCACAAUGGGCGCAAGCCUGAUGCAGCCAUGCCGCGUGUAUGAAGAAGGCCUUCGGGUUGUAAAGUACUUUCAGCGGGGAGGCGUUACCCGCAGAAGAAGCACCGGCUAACUCCGUGCCAGCCGCCGCGGUAAUUC